AGUGAACGCUGGCGGCAUGCCUUACACAUGCAAGCCGAACGGCAGCACGGGAGCAAUCCUGGUGGCGAGUGGCGAACGGGUGAGUAAAGUAUCGGAACGUGCCCAGUCGUGGGGGAUAACGUAGCGAAAGUUACGCUAAUACCGCAUACGAUCUAUGGAUGAAAGCGGGGGAUCGCAAGACCUCGCGCGAUUGGAGCGGCCGAUAUCAGAUUAGGUAGUUGGUGGGGUAAAGGCUCACCAAGCCGACGAUCUGUAGCCGGUCUGAGAGGACGACCAGCCACACUGGGACUGAGACACGGCCCAGACUCCUACGGGAGGCAGCAGUGGGGAAUUUUGGACAAUGGGCGAAAGCCUGAUCCAGCCAUGCCGCGUGCAGGAUGAAGGCCUUCGGGUUGUAAACUGCUUUUGUACGGAACGAAAAGGUUUGGCCUAAUAAGCUGAGCUGAUGACGGUACCGUAAGAAUAAGCACCGGCUAACUACGUGCCAGCAGCCGCCGUAA
rnacentral:rRNA from 1 species